GGGGAUGCGGUGCCGUGGGGUGCGGGAAUGGGGAGGGGGGAGUCGUUGUUGGGAGUCAGUGUGCGGAAGGGGUGCGGAGGCGGCCGAUGAAGGAGGAGGUUAGAUGCCGCGGCUGAACGUGGGAGUGGCCUUCGAUACUGGUCUGCGUGAGGCGUGGAGAGGGUAGCGGAAUUCGAGGUGUAGCGGUGAAAUGCGUAGAGAUCGGGAAGAACACCAGUGGCGAAGGCGGCUACCUGGACAGGUACUGACGCGGAAGCGCGAAAGCUAGGGGAGCAAACAGGAUUAGAUACCCCUGUAGUC
rnacentral:rRNA from 1 species